GGGGAGGUACCUGAGUGGACAAAGGGGACAGGCUGUAAACCUGUUGCGUAAGCUUCGAAGGUUCGAACCCUUCCCUCCCCA
rnacentral:tRNA from 1 species